UCUAGAAGGCUGGAAUGCAUCUAGGCUGAAAACUCCGGUGCUCUAGGAUGAGUCUGCGGACUAUCAGGUUGUAGUCAGGGUAAUGACCUGACUAGCCUACGACGGAUACGGGUUGUGAGAGCAAUAACCCGGAGAUGAUAUCUGAGACACGAUAUCAGGCCCUACGGGGCGCAGCAGGCGCGAAAACUUCACACUGUGCGAAAGCACGAUGAGGGAAUCCCAAGUGCUUGCUCGUAAGAGUAAGCUGUUUCUUUGUUUAAAACGCAUUGAGAGUAAGGGCUGGGUAAGACGGGUGCCAGCCGCCGCGGUAAUACCUGCAGCUCUAGUGGUGGCCGCUAUUAUUGGGCCUAAAACGUCCGUAGCCGGUUUAUUCAAUGCCUGGGGUAAUCGUGUAGCUUAACUAUACGAAUUCUGGGUAGACUGAU
rnacentral:rRNA from 1 species